AGAGUUUGAUCAUGGCUCAGAUUGAACGCUGGCGGCAGGCCUAACACAUGCAAGUCGAACGGUAACAGGAAGCAGCUUGCUGCUUUGCUGACGAGUGGCGGACGGGUGAGUAAUGUCUGGGAAACUGCCUGAUGGAGGGGGAUAACUACUGGAAACGGUGGCUAAUACCGCAUAAUGUCGCAAGACCAAAGAGGGGGACCUUCGGGCCUCUUGCCAUCAGAUGUGCCCAGAUGGGAUUAGCUUGUUGGUGAGGUAACGGCUCACCAAGGCGACGAUCCCUAGCUGGUCUGAGAGGAUGACCAGCCACACUGGAACUGAGACACGGUCCAGACUCCUACGGGAGGCAGCAGUGGGGAAUAUUGCACAAUGGGCGCAAGCCUGAUGCAGCCAUGCCGCGUGUAUGAAGAAGGCCUUCGGGUUGUAAAGUACUUUCAGCGGGGAGGAAGGUGUUGUGGUUAAUAACCACAGCAAUUGACGUUACCCGCAGAAGAAGCACCGGCUAACUCCGUGCCAGCAGCCGCGGUAAUACGGAGGGUGCAAGCGUUAAUCGGAAUUACUGGGCGUAAAGCGCACGCAGGCGGUCUGUCAAGUCGGAUGUGAAAUCCCCGGGCUCAACCUGGGAACUGCAUUCGAAACUGGCAGGCUUGAGUCUUGUAGAGGGGGGUAGAAUUCCAGGUGUAGCGGUGAAAUGCGUAGAGAUCUGGAGGAAUACCGGUGGCGAAGGCGGCCCCCUGGACAAAGACUGACGCUCAGGUGCGAAAGCGUGGGGAGCAAACAGGAUUAGAUACCCUGGUAGUCCACGCCGUAAACGAUGUCUACUUGGAGGUUGUGCCCUUGAGGCGUGGCUUCCGGAGCUAACGCGUUAAGUAGACCGCCUGGGGAGUACGGCCGCAAGGUUAAAACUCAAAUGAAUUGACGGGGGCCCGCACAAGCGGUGGAGCAUGUGGUUUAAUUCGAUGCAACGCGAAGAACCUUACCUGGUCUUGACAUCCACGGAAGUUUUCAGAGAUGAGAAUGUGCCUUCGGGAACCGUGAGACAGGUGCUGCAUGGCUGUCGUCAGCUCGUGUUGUGAAAUGUUGGGUUAAGUCCCGCAACGAGCGCAACCCUUAUCCUUUGUUGCCAGCGAUUAGGUCGGGAACUCAAAGGAGACUGCCAGUGAUAAACUGGAGGAAGGUGGGGAUGACGUCAAGUCAUCAUGGCCCUUACGACCAGGGCUACACACGUGCUACAAUGGCGCAUACAAAGAGAAGCGACCUCGCGAGAGCAAGCGGACCUCAUAAAGUGCGUCGUAGUCCGGAUUGGAGUCUGCAACUCGACUCCAUGAAGUCGGAAUCGCUAGUAAUCGUGGAUCAGAAUGCCACGGUGAAUACGUUCCCGGGCCUUGUACACACCGCCCGUCACACCAUGGGAGUGGGUUGCAAAAGAAGUAGGUAGCUUAACCUUCGGGAGGGCGCUUACCACUUUGUGAUUCAUGACUGGGGUGAAGUCGUAACAAGGUAACCGUAGGGGAACCUGCGGUUGGAUCACCU
rnacentral:rRNA from 1 species